ACAAUUGGGGCGUGCCUACCAUGCAGUCGAGCGGUCCGGCAGCCAACUUAUGUUGGGAGCCGGAUAGCGGCGGACGGGUGAGUAACGCGUGGGCAACCUACCCUUAAGACCGGGAUAACACCUCGAAAGGGGUGCUAAUACUGGAUAAGCUCCUUGUAGGGCAUCCUAUGAGGAGGGAAGGUAGCGGGAGCUACCGCUUAAGGAUGGGCCCGCGUCCCAUCAGCUAGUUGGUAGGGUAACGGCCUACCACGGCGACGACGGGUAGCCGGCCUGAGAGGGUGGUCGGCCACACUGGGACUGAGACACGGCCCAUACUCCUACGGGAGGCAGCAGUGGGGAAUCUUGCGCAAUGGGCCAAAGCCUGACGCACCGACUCCGCGUGAGCGAGGAAGGCCUUCGGGUCGUAAAGCUCGAUAGUGUGGGAAAAAAGGAUGACGGUACCACACCAAAGCCCCGGCUAUCUACGUGCCAGCAGCCGCGGUAAGAGGUAGGGCGCCAGCGUUGUUCGGACUUACUGGGCGUUCGUGAGCGUACGUCGCAGUUUGAGUCAGGUGAAUUUACCCAGGCUCUUCAGGGCUAGAAAUUGACACUGCGCGGCUCUAGAGCAGGAAAGGGAAGUGCCAGUCUUGGUUU
rnacentral:rRNA from 1 species